UUCCACUAGGCGGAAUUUUGCGCGCGGAGCGGAAUCUUUCUUUGUCUUUUCUAAUUAGUUCCACCCGAGAAAUCACAAGACAUUGAUUUCUCGGGUGGAACUAAUUAGAAAAGACAAAGAAACAUUUCGCUCCGCGCGCAAAAUUCUGCCUGGUGGAA